GCCUACGGGGGGCAGCAGUGAGGAAUAUUGGUCAAUGGGCGGGAGCCUGAACCAGCCAAGUCGCGUGAGGGAAGACGGUCCUACGGAUUGUAAACCUCUUUUGCCGGGGAGCAACGGGGUCCUUGCGAGGUCCCAAUGAGAGUACCCGGAGAAAAAGCAUCGGCUAACUCCGUGCCAGCAGCCGCGGUAAUACGGAGGAUGCGAGCGUUAUCCGGAUUUAUUGGGUUUAAAGGGUGCGUAGGCGGGCUGCUAAGUCAGCGGUCAAAUGUCCGGGCUCAACCCGGGCCGGCCGUUGAAAC
rnacentral:rRNA from 1 species